rnacentral:rRNA from 1 species
UACGGGGGGGGUAAGCGUUGUUCGGAAUUACUGGGCGUAAAGGGCUCGUAGGCGGCCAACUAAGUCAGACGUGAAAUCCUCAGCUUAACUGGGGAACUGCGUCUGAUACUGGAUGGCUUGGAUUCGGGAGAGGAAUGCGGAAUUCCAGGUGUAGCGGUGAAAUGCGUAGAUAUCUGGAGGAACACCGGUGGCGAAGGCGGCAUUCUGGACCGACAUUGACGCUGAGGAGCGAAAGCCAGGGGAGCAAACGGG